UACGGAGGGUGCGAGCGUUAAUCGGAAUUACUGGGCGUAAAGCGCGCGUAGGCGGUUUGGUCAGUUGGAUGUGAAAGCCCCGGGCUUAACCUGGGAACUGCAUUCAAUACUGCCAGACUAGAGUACGAGAGAGGGGGGUAGAAUUUCUAGUGUAGCGGUGAAAUGCGUAGAUAUUCGGAGGAACACCAGUGGCGAAGGCGGCUCACUGGCUCGAUACUGACGCUGAGGUGCGAAAGUGUGGGGAGCAAACAGG
rnacentral:rRNA from 1 species